GCAAGGCAGGACGGAGGGACAAGGAAAAGGGGGCUGCCAGGGACAUUAGACAGUAGAGGAUGGAGGGGUAGACUGCAUGAUGGCCUCGGUGGAGGAGAGGCAGAGAGGACAGUGACUGGAUGGGUGGAUGAAAGGUAGAUAUGGAUAGGAGGAUGAAAGGUAGAUAUGUAUAGGAGGAUGAAAGGUAGAUAUGGACAGGUGGAUGAAAGGUAGAUAUGGAUAGGAGGAUGAAAGGUAGAUAUGGAUAGGAGGAUGAAAGGUAGAUAUGUACAGGUGGAUGAAAGGUAGAUAUGGAUAGGAGGAUGAAAGGUAGAUAUGUAUAGGAGGAUGAAAGGUAGAUAUGGACAGGUGGAUGAAAGGUAGAUAUGGAUAGGAGGAUGAAAGGUAGAUAUGUAUAGGAGGAUGAAAGGUAGAUAUGGAUAGGAGGAUGAAAGGUAGAUAUGGAUAGGUGGAUGAAAGGUAGAUAUGUAUAGGAGGAUGAAAGGUAGAUAUGGAUAGGAGGAUGAAAGGUAGAUAUGGAUAGGUGGAUGAAAGGUAGAUAUGUAUAGGAGGAUGAAAGGUAGAUAUGGAUAGGAGGAUGAAAGGUAGAUAUGUACAGGAGGAUGAAAGGUAGAUAUGUAUAGGAGGAUGAAAGGUAGAUAUGUACAGGAGGAUGAAAGGUAGAUAUGUAUAGGAGGAUGAAAGGUAGAUAUGGACGGGUGGAUGAAAGGUAGAUAUGGACGGGUGGAUGAAAGGUAGAUAUGGACGGGUGGAUGAAAGGUAGAUAUGGACGGGUGGAUGAAAGGUAGAUAUGUAUAGGUGGAUGAAAGGUAGAUAUGGACGGGUGGAUGAAAGGUAGAUAUGGACGGGUGGAUGAAAGGUAGAUAUGUAUAGGAGGAUGAAAGGUAGAUAUGUACAGGUGGAUGAAAGGUAGAUAUGGACGGGUGGAUGAAAGGUAGAUAUGGAUAGGUGGAUGGAGAUGGGAGAAGACCCGGCAGAUAGAAAUUUUAACUUUUCGGUUAAAGUGUUACCUGAACUUAAAAUGUUUAGUCGGCCCAAACUUGUCUGAAAUGUUCAUUCAACUGUUAUCUGUGCAUCUACCUAAAGAAUACUAUGAAACUGGUUACACACACACACACACACACACACACACACACACACACACACACACACACACACACACACACACACACACACACACACACACACACACACACACACACACACA